CCUACGGGAGGCUGCAGUGGGGAAUAUUGCACAAUGGGCGCAAGCCUGAUGCAGCCAUGCCGCGUGUGUGAAGAAGGCCUUCGGGUUGUAAAGCACUUUCAGCGGGGAGGAAGGCGUUAAGGUUAAUAACCUUGGCGAUUGACGUCACCCGCAGAAGAAGCACCGGCUAACUCCGUGCCAGCAGCCGCGGUAAUACGGAGGGUGCAAGCGUUAAUCGGAAUUACUGGGCGUAAAGCGCACGCAGGCGGUCUGUCAAGUCGGAUGUGAAAUCCCCGGGCUCAACCUGGGAACUGCAUUCGAAACUGGCAGGCUAGAGUCUUGUAGAGGGGGGUAGAAUUCCAGGUGUAGCGGUGAAAUGCGUAGAGAUCUGGAGGAAUACCGGUGGCGAAGGCGGCCCCCUGGACAAAGACUGACGCUCAGGUGCGAAAGCGUGGGGAGCAAACAGGAUUAGAUACCCUAGUAGUC
rnacentral:rRNA from 1 species